ACGGAGGGUGCGAGCGUUGUCCGGAAUCACUGGGCGUAAAGGGCGCGUAGGCGGCCUUCUAAGUCGAACGUGAAAUCCCCGGGCUCAACCCGGGAACUGCGUCCGAGACUGGCGGGCUCGAAUCCGGGAGAGGGAUGCGGAAUUCCAGGUGUAGCGGUGAAAUGCGUAGAUAUCUGGAGGAACACCGGUGGCGAAGGCGGCAUCCUGGACCGGCAUUGACGCUGAGGCGCGAAAGCCAGGGGAGCAAACGGGA
rnacentral:rRNA from 1 species